UACGUAGGGAGCAAGCGUUUGUCCGGAAUCAUUGGGCGUAAAGCGCGCGUAGGCGGCCCCGUAAGUCCGCUGUGAAAGUCAAAGGCUCAACCUUUGAAAGCCGGUGGAUACUGUGGGGCUAGAGUCCGGAAGAGGCGAGUGGAAUUCCUGGGUGUAGCGGUGGAAAUGCGCAGGAUAUCAGGAGGAACACCAAUAGCGAAGGCAGCUCGCUGGGACGGUACUGACGCUAAGGCGC
rnacentral:rRNA from 1 species